rnacentral:rRNA from 1 species
CCUACGGGGCGCAGCAGUGAGGAAUAUUAGUCAAUGGGCUUACGCCUGAACCAGCCAAGUCGCGUGAGGGAAGACUGCCCUAUGGGUUGUAAACCUCUUUUGUCAGGGAGCAACGCCGGCUACGUGUAGCCGGACUGAGAGUACCUGAAGAAAAAGCAUCGUCUACCUCCUUGCCAGCAGCCGCGGUAAUACGGAGGAUGCGAGCGUUCUCCGGAUUGAUUGGUUUUAAAGGUUGCGUAGGCGGAAUGCCAAGUCAGCGGUAAAAUCGCGGGGCUCAACCUCGCUCCGCCGUUGAACCUGGCGUUCUUGAGUGGGCGAGAAGUAUGCGGAAGGCGUGGUGUAGCGGUGAAAUGCAUAGAGAUCACGCAGAACUCCGAUUGCGAAGGCAGCAUACCGGCGCCCAACUGACGCUGAAGCACGAAAGCGUGGGUAUCGAACAGGAUUAGAUACCCUUGUAGUC